rnacentral:rRNA from 1 species
GACGGGGGAUGCAAGCGUUAUCCGGAAUUACUGGGCGUAAAGCGUCUGCAGGCGGUUUCUUAAGUCCACUGUUAAACCUUGAGGCUCAACCUCAAAUCUGCAUUGGAAACUAGGAGACUUGAGUAUAGUAGGGGUAGAGGGAAUUUCCAGUGGAGCGGUGAAAUGCGUAGAUAUUGGAAAGAACACCGAUGGCGAAGGCACUCUACUGGGCUAUUACUGACACUCAGAGACGAAAGCUAGGGGAGCAAAUGGG